rnacentral:tRNA from 1 species
GCGGUGGUAGUUCAACGGUAGAAUUCGAGGAUGCCAGCCUUGGGAUCCGGGUUCGAUUCCCGGUCACCGCA